rnacentral:misc_RNA from 1 species
UGAUGUUUGUUGCAGGAA